GUUGUUAUGCUGCCGGAGCGUCCCGAGGGGAAAGUCCGGUGGAAGUCCGGCGCUGACCCGCAACGGUGGACGGGCCCCUGAGGGUCCGUGAGCCCGAUCGCCCUCGGCGGCGCUGACCU
rnacentral:ncRNA from 2 species